rnacentral:rRNA from 1 species
UACGUAGGUGACAAGCGUUUGUCCGGAUUUACUGGGCGUAAAGAGCUCGUAGGCGGCUUGUCACGUCGGGUGUGAAAGCCCGGGGCUUAACCCCGGAUCUGCAUUCGAUACGGGCUAGCUAGAGUGUGGUAGGGGAGAUCGGAAUUCCUGGUGUAGCGGUGAAAUGCGCAGAUAUCAGGAGGAACACCGGUGGCGAAGGCGGAUCUCUGGGCCAUUACUGACGCUGAGGAGCGAAAGCGUGGGGAGCGAACAGG